UUCUAACCUUCAGUCUUGUAUGCCAUUUCUUUAACUCUGCUUCAUUCCAUGUAAUUUCUUCAGAUUUCUCUUUCAAUCUACUAGAUAUACGUGCAGGAAAACCGUUAUACAAACUGAAAAGAUUCCAGCAAAUGAUCCCAGUACACUGUGAGGAAAUCAGUCAGGCUUCAGCCACGUGGCUCUUUUCCCAACCUUGGAUAGAUUGCUCACAGGUAUGUGUGAUCUAUACCCAGGUGAGCAUUGGAAGGGACUCCUCUCUGGAUCUCCAGAAUUCUCUCUCUGUGCAACUCUCUCCUCUCUGUACUCCAGCAACCUCGAUCUCCCAGGAUUGCUAAUUCAGAGUUAGCUAACUAAACCUGUAUUUCCGUUUUUUCCAUAGGCCAGAGCUUGGAAACUCUCUCAAGGAAGUGAGCUGGGGGAAAUAUUAGUUUCACCUCGCUUUUUUACCAUUUCUCAGGGAUCACUGUCAUUCAUUGCUUUAUGUUCAGUGCCUUGAAAUACUCAUGACAAUUACAGUUCUCACUUCAGUAACUGCUCACGUGGUCAUAGCUGGUAUUUAUAACUACCUUCUUUCAUUAUGCAUUUGUAUUCCCUUUGCCUUCAGCAAGCACCUCAACUUCCUCAUUGUUCUUUACCUUGUGGAUUGACGCAAACCUUCAUUCCUGAAUGGUCUGGGCCAUUAGUAGUCCUACCUGGAUUAGAUUGUUCUAGUUUUCCAUUGACCUUAGUCACAGGGCAUGGUAAUAGUAAGAGACACGCUAAGGAAUCUCUUGUAUUCCCAACAUACCCUUCCUUAGCUCCACAAUGGAGCAGUAGGCCAAUUUCCCCUUGGUAGUUAGGAUCAGUCACUUUAGCCAGCACACUAACUCUUUUCUUUGGCUACUGAUUCAGAGGCAUGCGGAGCCCAAAAUGGCUGGAUAGUAGUCUUAACUUCUAGUUCAAUGGAAUAAUUGUUGUUUCUUCUAGUGGAAGUAUUCCUCCCUCUGGAACUAAGACAUCUAGUCCAGAAGAGCGUAAAGUCAUGCAAACAGGAAGCAAAAGUUUUGCCACUCGGUUAUUAUGGGUAAUAAUGAGUGGUGCCAAUCCCGUUUUCACUCCUUGAUUUCUGGACCUGUGAAUUCUGGCUGUGGAAGAAACAGGUUGGAUGCUGAUUUAGAGCAUAUACAGCCUUCUGGAGAAUCUUACCUCACCCCUACAAGGUAUUGCCACCUAGCUGGCAUUUUGAGUCUUCAGUGGAUCAUUGCAGUGUUCUGUCAAACUAGCUGCUUCAGGAUGAUGGAGAAUACGAACUUGAAGUAUUUAUAAAGAGAUUAAAGGUGAGACAGGAAUUUGUGGGCAAGGACAGUUUCUUGGUGUACAACGAAAGAUCCAAGUAUGCCUCUCAGAUUAGAAAAGAUAUUCCUGGGCUUGAGAGAUGGGAGAAAGUCAAAUCUACUGUUCCUGUAGCUUCAGGUACCUGGUGCCUGUUACAGAACCACUGGGAAUGUAAUAGUUGCCUACCUUACCCUCUCACCCCGACUGGAAUGGGUGUAUGAUCUCCAGGCAGACAGAAUCAUAGACAGGCUCAUAAAUGAUGCUCAUCUCCCACAUGGAUAUGAAAUCAGCAGAGACUCAUC
ensembl:lncRNA